UCGAGCGGAGAUGAGGUGCUUGCACCUUAUCUUAGCGGCGGACGGGUGAGUAAUGCUUAGGAAUCUGCCUAUUAGUGGGGGACAACAUUCCGAAAGGGAUGCUAAUACCGCAUACGUCCUACGGGAGAAAGCAGGGGAUCUUCGGACCUUGCGCUAAUAGAUGAGCCUAAGUCGGAUUAGCUAGUUGGUGGGGUAAAGGCCUACCAAGGCGACGAUCUGUAGCGGGUCUGAGAGGAUGAUCCGCCACACUGGGACUGAGACACGGCCCAGACUCCUACGGGAGGCAGCAGUGGGGAAUAUUGGACAAUGGGGGGAACCCUGAUCCAGCCAUGCCGCGUGUGUGAAGAAGGCCUUAUGGUUGUAAAGCACUUUAAGCGAGGAGGAGGCUACUGAGACUAAUACUCUUGGAUAGUGGACGUUACUCGCAGAAUAAGCACCGGCUAACUCUGUGCCAGCAGCCGCGGUAAU
rnacentral:rRNA from 1 species